rnacentral:rRNA from 1 species
UACGGAGGGUCCGAGCGUUAUCCGGAUUUAUUGGGUUUAAAGGGUGCGUAGGCGGGUGUUUAAGUCAGGUGUGAAAGUUUAAGGCUCAACCUUGAAAUUGCAGUUGAUACUGGACGUCUUGAGUGCAUUAAAUGUGGGCGGAAUUCGUAGUGUAGCGGUGAAAUGCUUAGAUAUUACGAAGAACGCCAAUUGCGAAGGCAGCUCACAGAACUGUAACUGACGCUGAUGCUCGAAAGUGUGGGGAGCAAACAGGAUUAGAUACCCUGGUAGUCCACGCAGUAAACGAUGAAUACUGGCUGUUGGCGAGAAAGCGUCAGUGGACAAGCGAAAGUGAUAAGUAUCCCACCUGGGGAGUACGUCCGCAAGGGUGA